rnacentral:rRNA from 1 species
ACGGCUACCUUGUUACGACUUCACCCCAGUCGCCAAUCCUACCUUCGGCAGCGCCCUCCUUGCGGUUAGGCUACUGACUUCGGGCAUUACCGGCUCCCAUGGUGUGACGGGCGGUGUGUACAAGGCCCGGGAACGUAUUCACCGCGGCAUGCUGAUCCGCGAUUACUAGCAAUUCCAACUUCACGCAGGCGGGUUGCAGCCUACGAUCCGAACUGAGACCGUUUUUGGGGUUUUGCUCUGCCUCGCGGCUUUGCUUCCCUCUGUUAACGGCCAUUGUAGUACGUGUGAGGCCCAGGUCAUAAGGGGCAUGAUGAUUUGACAUCAUCCCCACCUUCCUCCGUUUUGUCAACGGCGGUCCGGCUAGAGUGCUCUUGCGUAGCAACUAACCGUAAGGGUUGCGCUCGUUGCGGGACUUAACCCAACAUCUCACGACACGAGCUGACGACAACCAUGCACCACCUGUCUCCGCUUUCCCCGAAGGGCACCUAACGUAUCUCUACCUCGUUAGCGGGAUGUCAAGACCUGGUAAGGUUCUUCGCGUUGCAUCGAAUUAAUCCACAUACUCCACUGCUUGUGCGGGCCCCCGUCAAUUCCUUUGAGUUUCAGCCUUGCGGCCGUACUCCCCAAGUGGAUUACUUAUUGUGUUAACUCC